UACAGAGACUGCAAGCGUUAUUCGGAUUCACUGGGCGUAAAGGGUGCGCAGGCGCCAUGUGUGUCAGGUGUGAAAGCCCGAGCUCAACCUCGGAAUUGCGCCUGAAACUACAUGGCUAGAGUACUGGAGAGGGUAGCAGAAUUCAUGGUGUAGCAGUGAAAUGCGUAGAUAUCAUGAGGAAUACCAGAGGCGAAGGCGGCUACCUGGACAAUUGCUGACGCUCAGGCACGAAAGCGUGGGGAGCAAAAGGG
rnacentral:rRNA from 1 species